rnacentral:lncRNA from 1 species
UCAAAACGGGCUGUUAUUUUGUCGAUACACGCGUCAUGGAGAGUUUUAACGCACUUUAUCGCCAAUCUGUCGAUACACAUGCUGCCGCUGCGUGACUGGGUGCAGCGCCGGGUGGAACGGUGAAAACACACACAAAAAGCACUACAGAUAUCACAUCUUAUCGGUCCGUUAGCUUGAGAAGCCUACGUCAGACUACAUUUCAGCAAACAGAUUUUUUUUUUUUUACCGAUGCCGCAACGUGAAAGGCAGUGACGUCCAGCGUAACUGUACAAACACAGCGCCACGCGUUAACCCCCCCACUUUUCUCACUUUCAAGAAGCUACCUCCUGUGCAAAAAGGCACCUCUUUGGUGGUUGUGUUUCAUUUUUAUGUUUUGUAGGAAAGAUUAUAUUUAUGGCUAUGUGAUCUGCUUAAUCUUUUCCCCAUCCGUCCAUCUACCCGUUUAUUUAUUUAUUUUGAAUGUAAUUGUUUUUAUUAUUAGGCCUACUCUCUCUCUCUCUCUUCUGAAUUUUAAUGGAUAUGUAUUGUUUGGCCAUCCUUGAACCCCUGGCUCUUUUCCUUGGGAUGUUUUUCAUUGUGUAAUCCAUAAGCAAGAGUUCAAGAACAGAAAAGCAGAAGAAAGAAAAAAUAAAAAAACGAGCACCACGCUGUUGACAUUGGCUGCAGAAUCUUGGGUUUAAUUUGUAACUUUUACCUUGGUUUUAUUGGGUAAAUGUCAUAUUUAUAAUAUUGGUCCUGUCCAAUAAAAUCAAUUAGUUAGUAUUUAGUUAGUAUGUAAAAUUUGCUGUAGCCUGUAUAAUAUUUAAUAUGGUUGUCCAUUGUCUGUUGUUUAUGUUAAGUUACAUAACAUAUACAUAAAAUAUAUGGUGAAAUGGCAUCCCAAAGCAACCAAUCCAAAACCAGGGCAAGAAUAUUUGUGUAGUUUAUAUAAAAUGUCAGGCAUACAGUUACCCAUAGCAUUCUAUAGUUCAUCUAAAAGCAGUUUUAAGCUAUUUUUUUUUCCAAUAAUUUCUGUAGUAAUGUGCCACACUGUAAUACCAUUUAAAAUGAGCAAGAAAAGGCAAAAAUUAAUUAAUAUAAAACCUACUGUAUCAUAUAUUUACAAAAAAAAAAAAAAAAAAAAUUACUAA